rnacentral:lncRNA from 1 species
UGGAUUACCAACAGGAGUGGUUACGGCAGCAGCAUAAGGAUGAUAACGAUCUUUACUGCGUUCUUUCUUUGCUGGCACACUGCUUGACUCAACCUCUUUCUCGAGCAGGCCACUGCCAGAGAGUUUCUUUGCUACAGAGUCAGAGGGGUUUGUCACUUCGGAUGAUGGAGCUUUUCCCUGAACUUUCUCCUUGAUCAGCC